AUGAUGCCCAUGGGCUUUUUUUUUGUUAAAGGUUGUAGAUGCCCAUGGGCUUUGGUUUCAGGGCCGAACAAUCGGAGAUACGAUGAAAACGCCGAUGUCCCUGACGGCGGCGCGUGAGCGCGUGGUACCAUCGCCGAAAGUCGAAGUCAGGAACGCUGGAAUCGAAUCUCCUACAGCUGAUCAGCAAGCGUCUGUCCGGCUCCCGGAGCAGACCGGGACAAGGCGAGGAAGGAGGCGAUAAGGAACGCGGCGAGGGCGUCGGAUCUGCUGGUGGAGGCAGUGAAUUGGUGAGCGAGAAGAGGAUAGAGGCGGUGACGAAUGACGAUUGCGCGAUUCAGGAAGCAUACCGAUCAGUGGUUGGCCGCUACUCGCGCCUUUAACACCGCCAUUAAGGAAAUAGGGGAUUUCGAGAACUGGAUGAAGACGAUGGAGUAUGACUGCCAGAAAAUCACUGAUUCGAUGCGCAAUAUUCACCAACAUCACUGAGAACAUUCCAUCCAGUUUCACAUAAUCAGAAACGCAUUCCUUGGAUUCAGUUCUCAGCCCACAAUAUUUUGAUUGAGUCUCAAUCCUUGGAGGGUAAAGCAUGCUUCGGAAGGAUUCCUACAUCAUUCCUGUUGAUGUUAUUCAGAUUAUAAGAAUAUUUCGGAUUUCAAUGGAAUUUCAAGAGAAUUCGAGGUAAGCUUGCAAUCGUUUUCUUUAGUAGACUUUGUGUUGUUAUGACGUCACUUCGUCAGUAGCACUAUCAACUCUGGGGAAAUGCCACCCCUAGUUGAUUCAUAAAUGACCUGGUGGCUACAAUCUAAAUCUUCCGUGACAAUGACAAGCCAGUUCAUCAAAGCCACCAGCUGAAUCUUACACUCGUUACAUGUCUUUGUCAAUCACAUUUAAAUUUUUUCAAGGUGAAACGGAUACAUAAAACAUCUAUCCAAACCUGAAUUCGAAUCUCAAAUUUGGGGAGGGAGUAUUUCAAAUCACAUGGCUAACCUCGAUUCCGAGAUUAGUUUGGGUUUUGGUCCAAAACACUCGUUUACCAAAAAAAAAAUCUCUCUCAUGGCCUAACUCUUUUGACAUACAGAGAUUUCCCCAACAAAAGAUCGUCAUCGUAACUUGUCUCUGUAGAAUGAAUUGUUAAAAUCUCGAAUUUCUGGAAAUUUUAUACUCCUGGGUUCAGUUUUCUAGUUUCUUCUUGGGGCAGUAUUAGUUCAGUUAACAAAACUUGA